rnacentral:rRNA from 1 species
AACGAACGCUGGCGGCAUGCCUAACACAUGCAAGUCGAACGAGACCUUCGGGUCUAGUGGCGCACGGGUGCGUAACGCGUGGGAAUCUGCCCUUGGGUUCGGAAUAACAGUGAGAAAUUACUGCUAAUACCGGAUGAUGACGAAAGUCCAAAGAUUUAUCGCCCAAGGAUGAGCCCGCGUAGGAUUAGCUAGUUGGUAAGGUAAAAGCUUACCAAGGCGACGAUCCUUAGCUGGUCUGAGAGGAUGAUCAGCCACACUGGGACUGAGACACGGCCCAGACUCCUACGGGAGGCAGCAGUGGGGAAUAUUGGACAAUGGGCGAAAGCCUGAUCCAGCAAUGCCGCGUGAGUGAUGAAGGCCUUAGGGUUGUAAAGCUCUUUUACCCGGGAUGAUAA